CCGCGUGAAGGAUGAAGGUCCUCUGGAUUGUAAACUUCUUUUAUAUGGGACGAAACCCUCGGAUUCCUCCGGGAUUGACGGUACCAUAGGAAUAAGCACCGGCUAACUCCGUGCCAGCAGCCGCGGUAAUACGGAGGGUGCAAGCGUUAUCCGGAUUCACUGGGUUUAAAGGGUGCGUAGGAGGACUGGUAAGUCAGUGGUGAAAUCCCCGAGCUUAACUUGGGAACUGCCGUUGAUACUAUCAGUCUUGAAUACCGUGGAGGUGAGCGGAAUAUGUCAUGUAGCGGUGAAAUGCUUAGAUAUGACAUAGAACACCAAUUGCGAAGGCAGCUCGCUACACGAAUAUUGACUCUGAGGCACGAAAGCGUGGGGAUCAAACAGGAUUAGAUACCCUGGUAGUCCACGCCCUAAACGAUGGAUACUCGACAUACGCGAUACACAGUGUGUGUCUGAGCGAAAGCAUUAAGUAUCCCACCUGGGAAGUACGACCGCAAGGUUG
rnacentral:rRNA from 1 species